rnacentral:rRNA from 1 species
GAUGAACGCUGGCGGCGUGCUUAACACAUGCAAGUCGAACGAAGCAUUUAAGACAGAUUACUUCGGUUUGAAGUCUUUUAUGACUGAGUGGCGGACGGGUGAGUAACGCGUGGGUAACCUGCCUCAUACAGGGGGAUAGCAGCUGGAAACGGCUGGUAAUACCGCAUAAGCGCACAGUACCACAUGGUACAGUGUGAAAAACUCCGGUGGUAUGAGAUGGACCCGCGUCUGAUUAGCUUGUUGGCGGGGUAACGGCCCACCAAGGCGAGGAUCAGUAGCCGAGAUGAGAGGGUGGCCGGCCACAUUGGGACUGAGCCACGGCCCAGAAUCUUACGGGAGGGAGGAGUGGGGAAUACUGCAAAAUGGAGGAUACUAAGAAGCAGCGACGACGGGUGAGUGAAGAAGUAGGUCGCUAUGUAAAGCUCGAUCAGAAGGGAAUAUAGUGACGGUACCUGACGAAGAAGCUCCGGCUAAAUACGUG